GGACACGACUCUGGAGAGUCCCGUUUGGGCGCCGAAGGUGCAAGGAAGUGAUUCCUAAUCUCUCAGGCAAAAGGACAGAGCUGGCAGA
rfam:Megasphaera elsdenii strain DSM 20460 draft genome